ensembl:lncRNA
UGCUGCUUCUGCUGUGUGCGAUACUCUGCGGAAGAGGAGAGAAGAGCUGAGGGCGUGCACGUGCGCCUGCCCUGUCGUGCACACCCAGAGUCGAGCGCGCGCCUGUGAUUAAUCUCAGUGACUCGAAUCUUUUGAAUCAUUUGAGUUCACGAAAGCAGGUUCAUUGACUCGGUCAGUGUUCCAGUGUUGCCAAGUCCGCGGUUUUACCCGCGAAACUGACUGGGCUAUGUAAACACUGUUCAUGUCCACGAAGCGACCCCAAAAACGUGAUAUUUAGCCCCUGAAAUGCGAAUUUUACCAGGGGAACCCCGCCAAAAACGCUUAUUUAACCCCUCGAAACAAUAAUUUUGGGCUAGGUUUGAGUAGCAAUUGAGUAACGUUAGCCGGUUUUGUUGUGAAAACCUGGCAACCCUGCAAUGAGUGUCUGUUUCCUACGCCAGUAGAUGGCAACAACAGUCAGCGUUUUAUAACCACAUUUACCAAGUAACAAAUAUGGCUCUCAAACUUUGUUUUUAACUCAGCAGUUCGCAUACAGCAUGCGAGCUUCUGUAUAAACGAAGUGGGAUUCGAUGUCAUCUCUAGCCUAUUUCUGUUAAAUGGGAUGGUCUCCUGUAACCGCCGUAGGCAACAAAACAACUGAAGCAGCAGCACGGGUGUCAGUGGGUCAGCAAAGGGACCUAACGGUUUGGUCUUCAUUGUACACACACCCACAUAAAUACCCAUAUCCUUAUUUAAGACAAUUAUCAUUAUUCACCUGUGCACUUACUCCAAUUGGGGACGAAGCCACUACAUUUUUAAUUACUGAAAUUAGAGUGUCAGUGAGGACUCCAGUUUUUAAGUAGUUCUUAGAUGCCAGGUAACACCAGUUCCUGGCACUGACCUGGUCACUUCUAUGGUUACAACCUUACGUCAAUAUUUGUAAUUACUCCUGUGUGAGUGCUCCAGUGACACUUUGAUUGUUAGUGAUCAUGUAUGAAAUAUUCAGCUACUGCUAAUUAGUAACCUAUAAAUCAACGAGUCAUUACUUUUCAAUGCACAACAAGCUGUAUAUAAGACUGAAAGUAAAUUAACUUCAAAUGAGGACUAAGUAUUGCAAUUUUGACAAUGUAUGAGGAUCUGGUCAAUUAUUCUGUGGGUCGAAAGUAAAUCUUAGGCACCUCUAUAUAUAUUUUGACUUUGACAGAAUAAACUGUGUGUGUGUUUAAAUGGUAUAUANUAG